rnacentral:rRNA from 1 species
GCUUGAGCACGUAGGUGGGUUUGUAAGUCAGAUGUGAAAGCCUUCUGUUCAACGGAAGAAUUGCAUCUGAAACUGCGAGUCUUGAGUGUAGGAGGGGAGAAUGGAACUUCUGGUGGAGCGGUGAAAUGCGUAGAUAUCAGAAGGAACGCCGGCGGCGAAAGCGAUUCUCUGGCCUAUUACUGACACUCAGUGUGCGAAAGCUAGGGGAGCAAACGGGAUUAGAUACCCCGGUAGUCCUAGCCGUAAACGAUGGGCACUAAGUAGAGGGAAUUACCGAUGUUCUCUCUGCCGUAGCUAACGCAUUAAGUGCCCCGCCUGGGGAGUACGGCCGCAAGGCUAAAACUCAAAAGAAUUGACGGGGGCUCGCACAAGCGGUGGAGCAUGUGGCUUAAUUCGAUGCAACGCGAAAAACCUUACCGGGGCUUGACAUGGUAGAAGUAGGAACCCGAAAGGGUAACGAGCGGUAUCCAGUCCGUAGCUAUCACAGGUGUUGCAUGGCUGUCGUCAGCUCGUGUCGUGAGACGUUGGGUUAAGUCCCCUAACGAGCGAAACCCUUGUUUUUAGUUACCAGCGGGUUGUGCCGGGUACUCUAGAAAGACUGCCGUCGUCAAGACGGAGGAAGGUGGGGAUGACGUCAAGUCAUCAUGGCCCUUAUGCCCCGGGCUGCACACGUGCUACAAUGGUCGGUACAAACGGAAGCGAAGCCGAGAGGUGAAGCGAAUCCAAGC